rnacentral:rRNA from 1 species
UACGAAGGGGGCUAGCGUUGCUCGGAAUUACUGGGCGUAAAGCGCACGUAGGCGGCUUUCUAAGUCGGGGGUGAAAUCCUGGAGCUCAACUCCAGAACUGCCUUCGAUACUGGAGAGCUUGAGUCCGGGAGGAGGUGAGUGGAACUGCGAGUGUAGAGGUGAAAUUCGGUAGAAUUAUUCGCAAGAACACCAGUGGCGAAAGGCAGGCCUCAGCUGGCC